CCUAACACAUGCAGUCGAACGGAUCCUUCGGGAUUAGUGGCGGACGGGUGAGUAACACGUGGGAACGUGCCCUUUGGUUCGGAACAACUCAGGGAAACUUGAGCUAAUACCGGAUGUGCCCUUCGGGGGAAAGAUUUAUCGCCAUUGGAGCGGCCCGCGUCUGAUUAGCUAGUUGGUGAGGUAAAGGCUCACCAAGGCGACGAUCAGUAGCUGGUCUGAGAGGAUGAUCAGCCACAUUGGGACUGAGACACGGCCCAAACUCCUACGGGAGGCAGCAGUGGGGAAUCUUGCGCAAUGGGCGAAAGCCUGACGCAGCCAUGCCGCGUGAAUGAUGAAGGUCUUAGGAUUGUAAAAUUCUUUCACCGGGGACGAUAAUGACGGUACCCGGAGAAGAAGCCCCGGCUAACUUCGUGCCAGCAGCCGCGGUAAUACGAAGGGGGCUAGCGUUGCUCGGAAUUACUGGGCGUAAAGGGAGCGUAGGCGGACUGUUAAGUUAGAGGUGAAAGCCCAGGGCUCAACCUUGGAAUUGCCUUUGAUACUGGCAGUCUUGAGUACGGAAGAGGUAUGUGGAACUCCGAGUGUAGAGGUGAAAUUCGUAGAUAUUCGGAAGAACACCAGUGGCGAAGGCGACAUACUGGUCCGUUACUGACGCUGAGGCUCGAAAGCGUGGGGAGCAAACAGGAUUAGAUACCCUGGUAGUCCACGCCGUAAACGAUGAGUGCUAGUUGUCGGCAUGCAUGCAUGUCGGUGACGCAGCUAACGCAUUAAGCACUCCGCCUGGGGAGUAC
rnacentral:rRNA from 1 species